UGCGGCUUAAUUUGACUCAACACGGGGAAACUUACCAGGUCCAGACAUAGUAAGGAUUGACAGACUGAGAGCUCUUUCGAUUUUUUUUUUUUUUUUUUUUUGAGGUGAAUGUG
rnacentral:ncRNA from 1 species